CCCUUCGGGGUGUGACUGCGUACCUUUUGUAUAAUGGGUCAGCGACUUAUAUUCUGUAGCAAGGUUAACCGUAUAGGGGAGCCGUAGGGAAACCGAGUCUUAACCGGGCGUUAAGUUGCAGGGUAUAGACCCGAAACCCGGUGAUCUAGCCAUGGGCAGGUUGAAGGUUGGGUAACACUAACUGGAGGACCGAACCGACUAAUGUUGAAAAAUUAGCGGAUGACCUGUGGCUGGGGGUGAAAGGCCAAUCAAACCGGGAGAUAGCUGGUUCUCCCCGAAAGCUAUUUAGGUAGCGCCUCGUGAAUUCAUCUCCGGGGGUAGAGCACUGUUUCGGCUAGGGGGCCAUCCCGGCUUACCAACCCGAUGCAAACUGCGAAUACCGGAGAAUGUUAUCACGGGAGACACACGGCGGGUGCUAACGUCCGUCGUGAAGAGGGAAACAACCCAGACCGCCAGCUAAGGUCCCAAAGUCAUGGUUAAGUGGGAAACGAUGUGGGAAGGCCCAGACAGCCAGGAUGUUGGCUUAGAAGCAGCCAUCAUUUAAAGAAAGCGUAAUAGCUCACUGGUCGAGUCGGCCUGCGCGGAAGAUGUAACGGGGCUAAACCAUGCACCGAAGCUGCGGCAGCGACACUGUGUGUUGUUGGGUAGGGGAGCGUUCUGUAAGCCUGUGAAGGUGGCCUGUGAGGGUUGCUGGAGGUAUCAGAAGUGCGAAUGCUGACAUAAGUAACGAUAAAGCGGGUGAAAAGCCCGCUCGCCGGAAGACCAAGGGUUCCUGUCCAACGUUAAUCGGGGCAGGGUGAGUCGACCCCUAAGGCGAGGCCGAAAGGCGUAGUCGAUGGGAAACGGGUUAAUAUUCCCGUACUUGGUGUUACUGCGAAGGGGGGACGGAGAAGGCUAUGUUGGCCGGGCGACGGUUGUCCCGGUUUAAGCGUGUAGGUGUGUGUUCCAGGUAAAUCCGGUUCACUUUAACACUGAGGCGUGACGACGAGGCACUACGGUGCUGAAGCAACAAAUGCCCUGCUUCCAGGAAAAGCCUCUAAGCAUCAGGUAACAUCAAAUCGUACCCCAAACCGACACAGGUGGUCAGGUAGAGAAUACCAAGGCGCUUGAGAGAACUCGGGUGAAGGAACUAGGCAAAAUGGUGCCGUAACU
rnacentral:rRNA from 1 species